rnacentral:lncRNA from 1 species
CUCAAUACAGAAAACGGCCAAAAUAUGCAACAACAUACCCAUUGUAAUCCCACAAGUGGGGUCUGGAGAGUGUAAUGUGUAUGGCAGCCCUUGUUUCCUCAAAAUAUGAAGCAAAAAUUAGUUUGGCAGUAAUAAGUAUUUAUUCCAUGAAGAGUAAGGGUGUCAAAUUUUUUGACCAUAAAAUGUAAGAUCAAACUUUAGUGGCUAAGGUUGGGGAUAUAUUCAUCAGCAUAUCAAUUUGAGCACAACCUAAUUCAACCAGUGUAAAAGUUGGGAUCAAUUUGAGUCAUACUAACAAAAGGAGAACUUGUCGUUAACUUCACGUUAGAUAUAUGAAGUGAGGUAGUAAUGAAUUGGUUGAAUUACAUAGCAGACAUCAGUGCACACCAAGUUAAAACUCAGAAAGAAAAAAUAUGGACAAAAAACCAAUGAAUAUUAGCAGUCGUUGUUGAAAUAACAAACACAACUUUAGUAAAAAACGAAUAUUUGUAAAGGUUCAAAAGAGAUAAGUAUAUCAGAGUGAACUAACUUAAAUAGUAUAUAUAGGAAUACAAACUCGGAGGGGGAAAAGUUGUCCAAAAUGAUCGAAUUAAAGGUAAAUCAGAAAAGAUUUUGCAGGACAGAGAAUUUACACAACAAAAAUCAGAACAAUUAAAUUAGCAGAGUUAAUAUAAAUACGUAAAUAUUUGAAGCAAAAAUUGCAUAAUCUAAAAGAUUUGAAAAAAGAUUACGACCUAAUUUCCGUAAUCCGUAAGCAGCAGGGCCUUUGUCAUAAAACUUAAUUUGUCUAAGAUUGAAGGAAACAGUGGCAACAAAUUAAAGGAUCACCUGAGACGAGGAAGAAGAAGAACCACCCCUUCAAUUGGUCGGAUCUUUUUGGGCAUGAUGGUCGAUUCCGUUAACCAUCCUAACAACUCCACGACCACCCUCUUCUUCUCCUUAUUCUCCCAUGAACCAUUAGACCCUGUUAGUAUGUGCAGCCUU